CUCCCCGUUUUAUUAGGGUUUCGAAUGGAGACACAGAGAGCAGCGCCGAGAGAAGUUGCAGACUCUCUUAGAUUUUAUCAUACCCUGAUGCUGAUGGAUGCAUUUUCAAUAACACGAACACGGUCCAAGUCGAAUUGCUGCUGCUACAACCAUGCUUAGAUGGAAGCUUGCUUAAUUUAUGAACAAAAAAAAAAUGUUAAUAGUUAAAUUAUUAAUAUA